rnacentral:rRNA from 1 species
AGAGUUUGAUCCUGGCUCAGGAUGAACGCUGGCGGCGUGCUUAAUACAUGCAAGUCGAACGGAGGUAUGUAGCAAUACGUAUCUUAGUGGCGAACGGGUGAGUAACGCGUUGGUGACCUACCCCAGAGAGGGGGAUAACAGUUCGAAAGGACUGCUAAUACCCCAUGUGGUCAUGGUAGUUAGAGAGCCAUGACUAAAGGUGCAAACCGCUCUGGGAGGGGCCUGCGUCCCAUCAGCUAGUUGGUAGGGUAACGGCCUACCAAGGCGACGACGGGUAGGGGGCCUGAGAGGGUGAUCCCCCACACUGGCACUGAAACACGGGCCAGACACCUACGGGUGGCAGCAGUAGGGAAUAUUGCACAAUGGGCGAAAGCCUGAUGCAGCAACGCCGCGUGUGCGAUGAAGGCCUUCGGGUCGUAAAGCACUUUUCGGGGAGAUGAGGAAGGACAGUAUCCUCGGAAUAAGGAUCGGCUAACUACGUGCCAGCAGCCGCGGUAAAACGUAGGAUCCGAGCGUUAUCCGAAUUCAUUGGGCGUAAAGCGCGUGCAGGCGGUCCGGUAAGUUGGAUGUGAAAUCUCCCGGCUCAACUGGGAGAGGUCGUUCAAUACUGUCGGACUCGAGGACGGUAGAGGGAGGUGGAAUUCCCGGUGUAGUGGUGAAAUGCGUAGAUAUCGGGAGGAACACCAGUGGCGAAGGCGGCCUCCUGGACCGUUCCUGACGCUCAGACGCGAAAGCUAGGGGAGCAAACGGGAUUAGAAACCCCGGUAGUCCUAGCCGUAAACUAUGUAGACUUGGUGUCGGUGGUGUAAAAACCAUCGGUGCCGUAGCUAACGCGUUAAGUCUACCGCCUGGGGACUACGGCCGCAAGGUUAAAACUCAAAGGAAUUGACGG